UUCGUAAAAGUCAGAAACUCCACGGACGAAGACGGUUUCCUCGUCGCUGUCUCAAUUGGAAACAAUUAAUUAAUCGAUGUCAGAUAACUCGUAUAAAGAAAUUCAAAAAAUUAAAACACAACGCACGUGUUUGUAGAGAUUAAGUCAAAAUGUCUUCUAUCGGUCCGACAGAAGAAAUAGAUGAGGUUAAGGAGCGCGCCCAUUUUCAAGCAGUGGUGAACGCUUUUAAAUAUUACAAACUAUGCAGCCUUGAGAGGAUACACAAGUCGGAGAAAAUCAUCUCAAUGCUGCCGCCGAGUGAUCAGAGACGAUUGGACAGAUACCGAACGUACCUCACCAAGUUCAAGAGGUGUCUGGACGUUAACAACGAUGUGGUCCACCUCAUCAUCAAGGAUGUGGACACCAUGUUUGAGAAUGUGGAACACAGCACCAACGGCAGCCACGGAACAGAGAACUUUGGAUGUAAUUACAACAACUGUGAGAUAACAUCCCUCAAGCAGCACAAGAUGCAGCACGAUGUGGAAAAGGUGCAGUCGGUGCUGAAGAACAUCGUCCGCGACUGGAGCGCGGCGGGCGAAGUGGAGCGCGACCAGUGCUACAAGCCCAUCCUGGACGAGCUGGAGGAGAGGUAUCCUCGCCAGGAACACUGCAGCCGGUCGGCGGUCCGCGUGCUGGUUCCGGGCGCGGGCCUGGGCCGCCUCGCCUGGGAGGUGGCCGGCCGAGGGUUCUCGUGUCAGGGGAACGAGUUCUCCCUCUUCAUGUUGUUCGCCAGCAACUUCAUACUCAAUAAGUGUGUCGAAGCGAACUCGUACACGGUGUACCCGUGGGUCCACCAGUACGUGAACCACCUGACGUGCGAGCACCAGACGGCGGGCGUGUCGUUCCCGGACGUGCCCCCCGCCGCUCAUCAUCAACACCAACAACAACACUUCUCCAUCGCCGCCGGGGACUUCCUCAAGGUGUACACCGAGCUGGACGAGUGGCACUGUAUAGCGACCUGCUUCUUCAUCGACUGCGCUCCCAACGUUAUAGAGUUCAUCGAGAGGAUAUACCACAUACUGAGGCCGGGCGGACUGUGGAUCAACCUCGGACCGUUGCUGUAUCACUAUAGUCUGUGGUUUCAGCGACAUGCCCAACGAGAUUAGUAUCGAGCCGCCCUACGACAUCCUGCUGGACAUCAUCCAAGACGUGGGAUUCGAGAUUCUGAAGGAGCAGACGUCGGUGAGGACGAGGUACGCGCAGAACCCCAACUCUAUGAUGCAACACGAAUACAAUUCGGUGUUUUUCGUGUGCAGGAAGGCCACGUGAGUGGUCGGACUCACCGGAGCUUCCACACCCAGACUGUAAUAUAGUUACGUGCUCCGCCAGAACUAGCUUUAGAAACGUUUCCCACCCCCCCGCUCGUCCUCGCCCCGCCUCCGUCCACAGCCGAGAUGAGCGUGUGUUUGUUGCAUGUGAUCAGACAGCAGCACCGCGGUGUGAGUUACAUAGAGAAAUGUUAGUUUAAUAAAUACAUCGGGUUGUGUUUGAAAUGCUCGUCUUUGUUCCGGAGCGCUCGUCCACAAUCCUCGGGUCUUCCCGGUCCGGAUCCACGUCACAGAUAAUAUAAAAGAUUAAAUCUAAAUGAAAGUAUAGUAUUCAUUCUGUGAGCGUUUUAUUUAAGUACUGUAUGUAGUAUCGGCCUAUGUUGUGAGCGUUGUCGUUUGAGUGUGACAUCUUAGCGAAGGUGAGGAACUGCCUCCUCAGCCUCAGCAGCUUCUGUUGGUUGAUGUUCUGUAUGAAGUCAACUUCCAGAACGCAUCCGGGGUAGUCGGGGAACUUCACUACAUCCAGGUUCAACUGCUUCGAGUCCAGGAUCUGUUUCGAUAUCUCCUGAGUCACUUUGUCUAUCUCAUACAGGAAAUUUGCAGAACACAGAGGAGGCUGCAACGUUAUUAAUAAAGAAUUAGUUGACAAA